GGGAGCGAUCUCCGAGCGAGGCAGCAAGAUGGACGCGGGAUUCUUCCGCGGAACAAGUGCAGAACAGGAUAAUCGGUUCAGCAACAAACAGAAGAAGCUACUGAAGCAGCUGAAAUUUGCAGAAUGCCUAGAAAAAAAGGUGGAUAUGAGCAAAGUAAAUUUGGAGGUUAUAAAGCCUUGGAUAACAAAACGAGUAACGGAAAUCCUUGGGUUUGAAGAUGAUGUUGUGAUUGAGUUUAUAUUCAACCAGCUGGAAGUGAAGAAUCCACACUCCAAAAUGAUGCAAAUCAACCUGACUGGGUUUUUGAAUGGAAAAAAUGCUAGAGAAUUUAUGGGAGAACUGUGGCCCCUGCUCUUAAGUGCACAAGAAAACAUCGCUGGAAUCCCUUCCGCUUUUCUAGAACUGAAGAAAGAAGAAAUAAAACAGAGACAAAUUGAACAAGAAAAGUUGGCAUCUAUGAAAAAGCAAGAUGAAGACAAGGAUAAGAGGGAUAAGGAAGAAAAAGAAAGCAGCAGAGAAAAAAGGGAAAGGUCUCGAAGGCCAAGAAGAUGCAAAUCCAGAUCUCCUUCCCCUAGAAGACGAUCUUCCCCUGUCAGGAGAGAGAGAAAGCGCAGUCAUUCUCGAUCUCCCCGUCACAGAACCAAGAGCCGGAGUCUUUCCCCUGCUCCGGAAAAGAAGGAAAAACUCCAGAGCUCCCAGAACCAUCGAAAGUAAAAGAACCUUCAGUACAAGAGGCCAGUUCUACUACUGACAUCCUGAAGGUUCCCAAACCUGAAACUGUAUCAGAGCCUGAAGAACCUUCUCCAAAGAAAAAUUCCAAAAAAGAAAAAGAGAAGGAGAAGACCCGACCAAGAUCUCGGUCAUGUACCAAAUCAAGAUCCCGGACACGGUCUCGCUCUCCUUCUCAUACUCGACCUAGACGGCGUCAUAGAUCCUGAUCAAGAUCAUACUCACCUAGAAGGAGGCCAAGUCCGAGAAGGCGGCCAUCUCCUCGAAGAAGAACCCCACCAAGACGAAUGCCGCCUCCACCCAGGCAUAGAAGGAGUAGAUCUCCAGUGAGACGAAGAAGGCGUUCGUUCAUCAGCAUCCUUGUCUGGAAGUAUCUCAUCAUCCUCUUCGUCCCGUUCCCGGUCACCGCCAAAGAAGCCUCCUAAGAGGACAUCCAGCCCCCCUCGAAAAACUCGUAGGUUAUCUCCUUCAGCAAGUCCUCCCAGGCAAAGGCAUAGGCCAUCGCCUCCAGCAACUCCACCGCCAAAAACUCGUCAUUCCCCAACACCCCAGCAGUCAAACUGUACGAGAAAAAGUCGUGUUUCUGUCUCUCCAGGGAGAACUUCAGGUAAAGUGACAAAACAUAAAGGUACUGAGAAAAGAGAGUCCCCUUCACCAGCACCUAAGCCUAGAAAAGUAGAGUUAUCUGAAUUGGAAGAAGAUAAAGGUGGCAAAAUGGCUGCGGCAGAUUCUGUGCAGCAGAGACGUCAGUACAGACGACAGAACCAGCAGUCCUCAUCUGAUUCUGGCUCCUCUUCUUCCUCAGAAGAUGAGCGACCCAAGAGGUCCCAUGUGAAGAAUGGUGAGGUAGGCAGGCAGCGGAGACAUUCCCCUUUCCGGAGUGCCUCUCCAUCACCUCCAAAGCGCCAGAAAGAGACUUCCCUUCGGAUACAAAUGGGGAAGCAAUGGGAAUCGCCAGUGACUAAAAGUGGUAGACGGAGGAGGAGUCCCUCCCCACCAUCUACCAGAAGGCGACGUUCUCCUUCUCCUGCCCCUCCUCUUCGCAGGCGCAGGUGCCCCACUCCACCACCACGACUAAGGACUCCUUCUCCUCCCCCAUGCCGGCGCUCACCUUCCCCAAGAAGAUAUUCUCCUCCAAUACAGAGGAGAUACUCUCCUUCUCCACCUCCAAAGAGAAGAACGGCUUCUCCCCCUCCCCCUCCUAAACGAAGGGCCUCACCAUCUCCACCACCAAAGCGUCAGGUCUCCCAUUCUCCACCUUUCAAACAAAGAAGCUCCCCAGUCACCAAAAGACAUUCGCCUUCAUUAUCAUCAAAGCAUAGGAAAGGGUCUUCCCCUAGCCGGUCUACCCGGGAACCACAGUCACCACAACCAAACAAAAGGCAUUCGCCCUCACCACGGCCUCGAGCUCCUCAAACCUCCUCAGGUCCUCCACCUGUUCGAAGAGGAGCAUCAUCAUCACCCCAAAGAAGGCAGUCCCCUUCUGCAAGUACUAGGCCCAUUAGGAGAGUCUCCAGGACUCCGGAACCCAAAAAGUCAAAAAAGGCUGCCUCACCAAGCACUCAGUCUAUAAGGAGGGUCUCGUCCUCCCGAUCUGUCUCAGGAUCUCCUGAGCCAGCAGCUAAAAAACCCCCAGCACCUCAAUCUCCUGUCCAGUCCCAGUCCCCCUCUACCAACUGGUCACCAGCCGUACUGGUCAAAAAGGCUAAAAGCCCAACCCCAAGCCCAUCUCCAGCGAGGAACUCAGACCCAGAAGGAGGUGGAAAGAAAAAGAAGAAAAAGAAGGACAAGAAACACAAAAAGGAUAAGAAGCACAAGAAGCACAAAAAACACAAGAAGGAAAAGGCCAUGGCGGCAGCCGCCGCAGCAGCCGUCACCCCAGCGGCCCCCGCUGCCCCCACGACCACAUCGGCACAGGAGGAACCAGAGACAGAGCCCGAGCCUAAGAAGGAGACAGAAAGCGAGCCGAAGACAACCUCGACGACUUAGAAAAGCACCUGCGCGAAAAGGCGCUGAGGUCGAUGCGGAAGGCUCAAGUGUCCCCACAGUCUUAGGCAGGAAUGU